rnacentral:rRNA from 1 species
AUGGACGACGAAGAAGCUCUGCUCGAAGCAGCGGGCGUCGCAGUGCGGCGGUCGCAAGAAGCAGAGGAAGGAUGGAGAGGCAGGGGAGCGCGAGCGAGAAUGAUGUCCGCCACCCCCCUCGCCCCAAUUUAUAAGCCUCGGUUUGAACGUGGGGGAGUGGGAUCGUUUGCGCUCGUCUUUCCCACUACCCCGCAGCGCGCGUGCGCAUGCAAUAACUGCACGAAAAAAGAGCAACCGACCCCCGGACGCCGCAAUAAAUCCGUGCGCGUGGGCCAAGGACACGCGGCGGCGGGCCCCGGCACGUCGACCAGUUCCGUCACGCGCGUACACCCGCCAACUUAG